ensembl:lncRNA
AAGCUCUGGUGUCCCCAGCCCAGCACAAAUGCAUAAAAUACCCAUGUAAUCAUGUUAUUCUGAGCAGGGAUUGAUGGCACAUGCCUGGAAUCCCAGUACUAUAGAAAGCUGGGGCGGGAGGAUAGAACGUUUUAGCCCAGCCUGGGCAAUUUAAUUACUCUGUGAGACCCUGCCUCAAAAUAAAAGUAAAAAAGGCUGGGGGCUGGAGAUGUAGAUCAAUGAAGAGAUAUUCUAGUACUGCAAGUGAUGAUGAUGAUGAUGAUGAUGAUGAUGAUGAUGAUGAUGAUGAUGAUAAAAGUGUCAUCCUAAGUGAGACAAUCUUGACACAAGUGAAUUCUAGAGAGAAGAAUUUGUAAAAAUGCUAAGUGAGACAGUAUCCUAAACUAUAUUUUCUUUUAUUAUAAACCAGAAAAGCCAAUUUUACCCUUGCUCCAUAAUCAAAGAGCUCCUGUAAUUUUUAAAAGCAUCUUACACAGUACUCAGUAUGAGACAAAACUGUGAGAAAAGCAGUGGUCUUUCUCUUUAAGAUUCUUCUUGCCCUAGAAAAAUUUGGCUUUAUUGGAUCCCGAAGCAGAGCUUUUUUUUCAGAGCGUGUGUGUAUUUGCUCUGCUCACAUUAUUUCUUUUCCCCAGAAGGAGACCAAACUGUUUAUAGGGAAGAUAGAAACAAACAAACAACUGGGUAAUAUGCUUCCAAGCAUUCAGAGACAUGUGACCUUUCAGCCAGCACGGAGCUCCACCAGGCAAACAGCAGGCUGGCCAUGCCUGAUUCUUUUGGAGCUGGGAUGCUGCUGCAUCCUUGGGGAUGAGAAUAUAAAUUAUACAGACCAUUAUCAUUUCUUCCCCAGAAUUCUAACUUCUGAAUUCUGACCCAGAAAAUAUGCAAUUGGUUCCCUUGGAGCACAAGAUUCAUGCUGCCCGGUACCUGCUGGAGUGACCGAGGAAGAUUUGAUUGGCCUCUUUGGCCUUCUGCUGCUCUGUGUCCUGAGACAAGCUUCCAGAAGCUGCGAUUUUCUGUUGCCUGGAGGAGAGGCCAGUUUUGUUGUGCCAAUUGGAGUCUUGUAGGUGGUGCCUAUGCUGCAGAUGACACAUCUCCUUUUGCACAGCAAGGCUGUAGAUGGUCCUAGCACCUGUAGCAAAAGGGGCCGAGCCGCGCAUUGUUCCUUUACAUGUCUCCAAGGUACGAACAUGUUUUGCUGUGAACGUUCAUGGCCGAGGGGGCUAGAGCAGCUUUCUGAAGUGACAGUACUUGCCCAAAUACUUUAUUUUGCAUCGCAAUAGGAUUAUA